CCCUUACCAUGCAUUUGUUAUUAGCCAGAAAGCCAGCCCCUCUCUCCCCCUCUCCCUCUCCCGCUUUUCCCCUCUCUUCUUCUCUCCUGUUCCUGGGGUGAUACCUUAGGAACUGUGCAUGGGCAAAGCAAUCAGUGACAACAGUAGUUUCAGGUAAUAAUGACCUUUGUUCUUGGGGAAUGCAAAACUGAAAAACAUCUCAUGAUGAGGUAGGCGAUUUAAAUAAGAUGUGCACCAUCUGGUCACGGACACCCAGCUUUAAGAAGGUGCCUACCAAUCCAGGAUCACCCUCCUCCUGUAUAAACGGCAGAUAACAGCUUCCAGGGAAAGGGAAUGACAGAGAAGCAGCUGCCUCUGGAAAACUGGAUAAAGCAAGAGGACACUAUGUUGUGCGCUAGGCAGACUGAAUCUUUUGAAACUCCGUAAUUUAAGGGCAACAUAACAGCAAGUUCACAGGUAAACACAAUACCACCCACGGAAAGAAACUGCCUCAGAGUCUCAGGCCUGGAGCUCAGGAGUCGCUAGUUUUAGAGGAGGUUUGGACGCUGGGCAGUGAAUGCGGACGCCCAGGGCAAGUGGCGCAGCUGCUCUUGCUCACCACCCCGCUGAGCAGGCCGAGUCGCUGCGGAGGCGCCCUGGUGCACCGCGCCCGCGCCCGCGCCCGCGCCCGGCCCAAGCAGGAAGCACAAGCCAUGCAGGACCAACUGAAACCAACUGAAGCCGCAGCCAGGGUCUCCGAGGUGAGGAGGAGACAUUAAAGACUGCAGUUGCUUUGUAAACUUGAAUGGCACUGAAGUUUCAGCAAUAAUGGGGAGCGAAAUGGAGGAGUCAGCACGAACAGAUUCAUGAACUUUGUGUUAAAAAAAAAAAAAAAAAAGAUGUGUGCUAUGCCAACAAAUAAGAAGGGAUACUGGCAGGAGAUGGUUGGGAAUGGCUGUUGGACAGAUAAACCGCUGACCUUCAACUCACUAUGAAGCACAGGCUGGCCUCGAACUCAUGGUGCUCCUCCUGCCUCAACCUCCUUGGUGCUGGGAUUACAGGUGUGCACCAUUACACCUGGCUGCAUGAUAACAUCUCUCGUGCACCCGGGCCAGGGAACGCUGACCCCCGCAGGCCGAGUGCCAGGCCUCUGCUCUCUUCCCGGAGCAGAAGGACCCAGUGUCUCUUCCUCCCGGGCAGGGAUGCA
rnacentral:lncRNA from 1 species